CAGCUUGCUGGGCGGAUUAGUGGCGAACGGGUGAGUAAUACGUGAGUAACCUGCCCUUGACUCUGGGAUAAGCCUGGGAAACUGGGUCUAAUACUGGAUACUACCUCUUGCCGCAUGGUGGGUGGUGGAAAGGGUUUUACUGGUUUUGGAUGGGCUCACGGCCUAUCAGCUUGUUGGUGGGGUAAUGGCUCACCAAGGCGACGACGGGUAGCCGGCCUGAGAGGGUGACCGGCCACACUGGGACUGAGACACGGCCCAGACUCCUACGGGAGGCAGCAGUGGGGAAUAUUGCACAAUGGGCGGAAGCCUGAUGCAGCGACGCCGCGUGAGGGAUGACGGCCUUCGGGUUGUAAACCUCUUUCAGUAGGGAAGAAGCGAGAGUGACGGUACCUGCAGAAGAAGCGCCGGCUAACUACGUGCCAGCAGCCGCGGUAAUACGUAGGGCGCAAGCGUUGUCCGGAAUUAUUGGGCGUAAAGAGCUCGUAGGCGGUUUGUCGCGUCUGCUGUGAAAGCCCGGGGCUCAACCCCGGGUCUGCAGUGGGUACGGGCAGACUAGAGUGCAGUAGGGGAGACUGGAAUUCCUGGUGUAGCGGUGAAAUGCGCAGAUAUCAGGAGGAACACCGAUGGCGAAGGCAGGUCUCUGGGCUGUUACUGACGCUGAGGAGCGAAAGCAUGGGGAGCGAACAGGAUUAGAUACCCUGGUAGUCCAUGCCGUAAACGUUGGGCACUAGGUGUGGGGGACAUUCCACGUUUUCCGCGCCGUAGCUAACGCAUUAAGUGCCCCGCCUGGGGAGUACGGCCGCAAGGCUAAAACUCAAAGGAAUUGACGGGGGCCCGCACAAGCGGCGGAGCAUGCGGAUUAAUUCGAUGCAACGCGAAGAACCUUACCAAGGCUUGACAUUCACCGGACCGCCCCAGAGAUGGGGUUUCCCUUCGGGGCUGGUGGACAGGUGGUGCAUGGUUGUCGUCAGCUCGUGUCGUGAGAUGUUGGGUUAAGUCCCGCAACGAGCGCAACCCUCGUUCUAUGUUGCCAGCACGUGAUGGUGGGGACUCAUAGGAGACUGCCGGGGUCAACUCGGAGGAAGGUGGGGAUGACGUCAAAUCAUCAUGCCCCUUAUGUCUUGGGCUUCACGCAUGCUACAAUGGCCGGUACAAAGGGUUGCGAUACUGUGAGGUGGAGCUAAUCCCAAAAAGCCGGUCUCAGUUCGGAUUGAGGUCUGCAACUCGACCUCAUGAAGUCGGAGUCGCUAGUAAUCGCAGAUCAGCAACGCUGCGGUGAAUACGUUCCCGGGCCUUGUACACACCGCCCGUCAAGUCACGAAAG
rnacentral:rRNA from 1 species